rnacentral:tRNA from 1 species
GCGCCCGCAGCUUAAGCGGAUAAAGCACCAUUCUGACUAAGUGGAGGAUGAGGGUUCGAGUCCCUCCGGGCGCG